AUCACAACUCUUUGCUGUCCUGGCUCAUAAAUGGUGGAACGAGCUCUCUGAAGACACCAGGACCGCAGAGAGCCUUCACAUCUUUCACCGCAAACUAAAGACACACCUCUUCAGACUCUACCUCCACUAAAAGACUAACAAAUUGGAGCACUUAAAUUGUACUUUUAAUGGCACUUAUAUAUAGCAAAUGGCUUAUUUGAUGAAUUUGCACUUUCUUGUUUCUUGAGUUUGUACCCUUUGGUUGAAUGCACUUAUUGUAAGUCACUUUGGAUAAAAGCGUCAGCUAAAUGACAUGUACUGUAAUGUGAUGUUUCAGCCUGCUCCAAGGUGGAGCUGAGAGCAGAGAGGGAAGCCGGUCGAGAGAGUGACUAAGUACAUGAGGAAUGGUGGGGAGGGAGGCCUGGAUGUUUCCGUAGUAGAAAGUCUGUAAUCAUGUAGCAAACCAAAAAAAGAGAAGAACGCAUUGCUGUCCCUCUGCCAACCAGACAGCCUGUCAAGUCUCUACAUGCUCCAUACGUCUCGCUGCAGCAGUGGAGGAAACAGAUGGUUCACUGUCUGCGGAGACAACACUACUCCCGACGUGCGAAAAUGAAUCGGGGAAUAAAUGCUCUUUUGCAACUGGCAAUCAAUACAAGGAUCGAUACUCAAUAUGUUAAUGCGUGCAGUGCUUUCUCUCUUCUUCUUCUUGGGAUUUAAAGUGUGUGCCUCAGCAUUUAAUGUGAAGAAACAGACCGCUGAAUGAGUAAUUCUCCACGCGGCUCAACAUGUCGCCUCUUUGUUUUGUCUCUCUCACACACACACUUCACAGUCACCAGCUGGCCUCUAGCGGGGCACACAGUUGUCACCAUGGUGACAAAGCCCGGCAGAUGAGGACCCAUGUGGGUUUGGUUUAGUGCUUGUGUGUGAUGACGGUUUAACAAUCUUUCAAUAAUGCACAACGGCAGUCCUGUGUGUGUGUGUGUGUGUGUGUGUGUGUGUGUGUGUCCAACAGAACCCUCAAAUAUUCAUGCCCGUAUUUCAAACAAAGAGAUGAGAGAUAAUCCUGUUGAGACUCAUGAUUGAGUGUGUGUUUCAUGUGGGUUUCAUGAGGCAGUCAUACUAAAGCAGGAAUCCCACCAUAUCAGUUAUUAUCACAUUUUAAAGCAACGGUAAAAUGCCGUCAGGGAAAGGAUGUUCCUAAAAUGGGGAUAUUUAAAAAAAAGAAGGGGGCGGUGGGGUUAAAAGAGAGACCAAGGGAGGAGUUGAGGAGGCGGGAGAGAAGCUGCAUGGCUGCUCAGAACGCCUAUCGCUCCCACCUGGAUCUCAAUUACAAGAUUUGGUUUCCAGUAGCUCUGAAAACUGCAGACAGAACAAACUGUCAUCAUUCGAUUGAGAAAAGAAAGAAUGUUGAUACAUAAUACAGAACAAUUACUUGUUGACGAGAAUUGAGCGACGUGGGUAGUCGAAACAUUCGUAGCUCGGCACAGAGACUGUUUUGUUUGGCAAACGAUAUUUGCAAAAUGUCCCUUUAAACAGUUUGCCAUGAAAAGUGUUUGCUGCCGGCAAAACAAACUAUUACGAGACGACUUCCUGUUAGCCAGUACCACCACUCUCUUGGCGUCUAGAAGUUUUUGUUCUUAGAUGUAAGGUUCAAAGGUUACGCGUCAGCCCAUCGUAGCUAGCCAGACCCUUCCCCAUGCAGCUGCUCUGCUGCUCCUCGUUGCCUAACAGUGUUCUCAAUCUCAUUUCAUUGGAAAUGGCUCAUUUGUAGCCUCUGACAAUUCCAAAGAGGUGUCAAUCAUUGUAAUCGGCCAAUUAUUUCGGCCUUGGUCUAAAUAGAUUAUAUAUAUAUAUAUACUCUAUACAUAGUAUUUUUUUGCACAUUUUAGCAUAUUUGACCAACUUCUUCCAAAAUUUAUUUUUAUUGGCAAAAAAAAAAUUAAUUUAUGGAUGUUAGUAAAUAGGCUAAGAAUUUGUCCUUAAUGCUUUCCUAUGUCUGACUUAAUUCACUUCAAGGGAAGGACCAAAGGUACAACCUGCAGACACACUGCAAAGAAUGAUAGUUAAUUAGUUAAAGACAAAUGUGAAUGGUUGCUACAAUUCUGUGAAAUUGACGUAAACUCAAAACUCCAGCGGGGGGGGGUGCUACGCUUCCGCGGCAACGCCAUUGUUUAGGAUGCUCUAAUCAGCUAUAGCCUCAUAUACGAGAUCACAAAUCAGGUCCAUGCGCAAAUCAUUAGCGAGCAAAAGUCUUUGCAGGCUAUUUGCUCGCUGGCUCGUGAUUUUUCUGUUUGACAGUAAGGGGGCGGAGCCAGUCACCAUGGUACCUUUACAUCUAAUUGGUUACAAACCCCGUCUUUAGAUUGGCUCGGGUUAUGCAUUCCCAGAACUAUAGAAGCCUUUUUCCACAAUAAAAAUAAGGGAUAGAAAGUCGACUUAAUGAGAUAAAACAUUGUUAAAACACAAACUCUCUGUAACCGUGGUGAAGUCGACAACCAGCUACAACCCUAAUUCACCAUCAUUUUACCAAUGCGGAGUCUCAUUUCGGCCACGCAUUAAGACCAAUUUGUCCAUUGGUGAAAUAACAUUUCGCUGACGAACUAUUGAACCGGGAAGUCUGGAUCUGUGAAUUUCUUGCUAACUUUACGGAACUAUAAAGGAGCACGCUCAUGUCUGAUCUCAGAAUUUUAGCUUUAUCUCAUAAUUUCGACUCUCCAAUGCCUUUAUGUUUUUUGUGCGGGAACAGGCUUCUACAGUUCUGAGAAUGUUUAACAGAGAAGAUGAAAUCCAGCCAAAGACGAGGAUUAUAACCAAUUAAAUGUAGAGAUACCUUGACGACUGCAUCGGCCCCUUUUUGUCCAAAAGAAAAAAUGCGAGUGAUCAAGCAGAGAACAGCCUCUCGACGUUAAAGUAUGGACCUGAUUUGCCUCUAAGUUUGCCUUCAUAUGAAACGGGCACUAAAAACACACAUGGCGGGUGCGGCUAGCUCAACAAAGCAAGGAGAAGCUCAGAUAACAAAACACCCAGAGCGAGAGUAAUUUAAGUAAUGUCAUGGGAUAUCUACAAAUUGUGGCGCUUUAUUUUUCAUAGGUAUUGCUG
ensembl:lncRNA